CUCAGGAGGCUGAGGUAGGAGAAUCGCUUGAACCCGGGAGGCAGAGACUGCAGGGAGUCGAGAUUACGCAACUGCACUCCAGCCUGGGUGACAGAGCCAGACCUUAUCUCAAAAAAAUUUAAAAAAAAAAAU